rnacentral:misc_RNA from 1 species
UCUUAAUAGAAGAUCGUUACGGUUUUCAUUCAUACAUGCCAUUGUAUGUGUAUUUGUUUGAUAGAACUACACAUAUUUAUAAGAACUGAUCGUUACAAAAUGUAUUGGCAAACAAGGUUAAAAUUUGUCUUUGGAAAAAUCGUCCCGACGUGGUCAGAAAGAGUUAUCCCCCUUGGCCGGCAUAGCGAUCGGUUUUCGAUCAAACAUUUAUCGAUACUGAGAUGGAGAACGUCAACGUGCCUGCUGACCCUGCACAUGACGCAUGGUAUCCAAGUGGGCUGUGUCCUGCCACAUUCAGGAAAUUUGAGGUGCAACCCUUGUAGGAAAUCAGUUUAAAAGUAGACCCAGUGAGAUGGGCUGGGCGGAAGGGAAAAUAAUAUGGUUCAAGGACUGUGAGACAGACAGGGAUGCAACUCUGCCCAGCAAAUUGAGGUGGCUUCUUGGAUGACUGUAUUACCUGUGCCUUCUAUGGCCUUAAACUUUCACAUACCUUAUGAAGUUUGUUUGUGUUUUCAAUAUCUUCUCUGAAAAUCAUAUUUUCAAUAAGCUGAGAUUUUGUGUAUUUGAUCCCACUAACAUGAUGCCAAUACAACUUCAAGCUGUCAAGACAUGGCAACCAUAUUGAACAUAUACUUUUCACCCUUUAGAAAGCCACUUCUGCAUUUACAUUAUGAAAUUUGAUAUACAGUAAUUAUUUGGUAAACCCAAACACAGUGUCAUAUUUUGCAAGUUUUUCUUAUAUUUGGAACUGCAACAUUUUGUCUUCAUGUGCUGCUGCAGCAGUCAUGAUGAAUGUGUUCUUUUGACUCGUUUCAUUACCAAUUAUUAUCCCCCACAACAUGUUUUGCGGGGGUAUUAAAAUGGACAUGGUCAGUCCUUGCAUUCAUACUUCUGUGUAAGAUUUUGAAAAAACGUUUACUAUUUUCUUCACCAAUCAUGGUACAUGGAUAGGCCUAGUGGUGACCUGGUGCCUGUUGAUAGUUUUGGAUUUUUGUAAAAUGUAUCUUUUUAGUUUCCAUGGCAACAACUUUGACUGAAAUAGGAGGGUAGUGAUCGUUCUUGGAACAUACCUUAAAAAUCUACAAUAUUUCUUCACCAAACUUGACACACAGAUCGGUCUAGUGGUGAACUGGUGCCUUUUAAUAGUUUAGGAUUUUUUUUAAAUUAAUAUUUUGAGAUGCCACAACUUUGACUCAUACUGAAAAUGAGGGUAGUGCUCCUUUCUAUGCAGAUUAAUUUUUUUUUACAAUAUUUCCUUAACAAGCAUGGCACAUAGAUAGGUCUAGUGUUGAACUGGUGCCUUUUGAUAAUUUGGGAUAUUUAGUUUCCAUAGCAAGUAUUUAAUAUUUAGGGGAUAAUGGUGAAUUUGUCUUCUUGCAUAUACUGUCAUCCUUUUAAUUGGUCAAGAUGCUGUGAGAAAGUCUGUUCUGUAGAUAAAUAGUUUUGUUUCUUUUGCUUAUUUAUUAUACCUUUGUAUUGCCUUUUUGUUGUAAUAAUAUAUUCCAUGAAAAAGUACAGGGAAGCUACAGAGCCAUUUUAACACCUAUACCCAGGGAAGUUUGUUCGAACAGUAUUUCUGUCAGUCAUGUGAGGGGACAGCCAAAAGGUAAUGAAGGGAAAAAUUAUUAUAUCAGAGCUACAGAUAAGCAGCGUAUUUGUGUAAAAUACCCCCCAAAAUUAUUUAAAACCCAAUUACUUUCCAUUAACUUGUGUACAGAAACGCAUGCAUUAAAUGAAAAACUCAAAUUAUUAAAACAGCUCGUGUAAAUGCCCAAUGAAGCUUUUUCAGCAUGCAUACAAAGGAGCUAAUUUCUGAAACACAAUUACAAGCUUAUUUACUUUCUCAGUCAAACCUAUGUAUUUAGAACAUUAUUUCAUUUUUUUGAAAUCUUAAAAUGUUCACUAAUUUUGGGAAAGACCCAAGAGAGUGAUGAAACGAUGAGUGAAAAAAUAUUGGUUACCCAAUGAAAAAUGUAAUAACCCAAUUAAAAUAGAAACCCUAAAGUAAAAACUGAAUUGCUCAAAAAGUUAUCUGGAGCUCUGUUACAUGAGUCAGUUUAAUGGCACCAAUACAAUGGGCACAUCUGGCCUCCAUUAGGUUGAAUCUGGUAAACUGUGUCUGUGAUUUUUUGGGGUGACGACAUUGCAGCCAUAUUGAAUGUUAUUUUGACCAGGUACUCAUGUAUCAUGGUGUUAUUCAUUUAACAGGCUCUGAUACUAUAUUUCAAUCUCCAAUGUGCUAUGUUUCAGUGAUCAUAUGUUCCAUUUGGUCAUGCCAUCAUCUUUCACCUUUUUGUGUCCUAAUAAUGGAAUGUACCAGUUUCACUGUCCAGUUACAAGAAGCCUGGUGCAAAUAACUUGUUUGGUCCAGUUGCACCCAACAAAGAUGCUGUCUACACCAAGUGUGACUGAUAGUCCUGUGUAAGCAAAAUUAGGCAUAUUGCUGAAUGUUGGGACCGGAUGUUGUGCUCUCUCAACCGGGCAACUACCAUGCUGUAAUGAAACUUGAUGGUAUCAGUUUACACCUACGCUAAACUACAUAUACAGCUCCCAAUACAGUGUGCUUUGAGAAGGGAGAGCAACUAUGCCCUGUACGUUUCUGGAAAGAAGAAGUGUUGAGAAGAAGAGUUCUGUGUUGAAGUCAGCAUUGACAUCCUGAGUAGUGAAAAGAUCAGCAGGGAGUAGCAUCAGUUCACUACUGUGUGGAGGGACAGUGUUUCUCCCUAUACUCAUGGACAGUACUGUACAUCUAAACAUAUGAUUCAUAUUAUAAAUUGUUUCAUUAUGUGAGGUGGGUUUUUUUCAUUCAUAAUAUCAAUUAUCAUAUACGGUGAAUUUAGCAUCUUACAAAUAUACUGUGCAUGGAAUUUCUUCACUUACACUGUUUUCAGCAUUUUGAGGCAAAACUCUUUUCAUGUGUUACAUUUAUGUUUAUUGUUUCCUCAACAAUAAAGAACUAGCAAAAUGA